rnacentral:rRNA from 1 species
GACGAACGCUGGCGGCAUGCCUAAUACAUGCAAGUCGAACGCCAAAUCUUCCUGCUUGCAGGAAGAGGCGGAGUGGCGAACGGGUGAGUAACACGUGAGGAACUUGCCCAUAAGAGGGGGAUAACACCCGGAAACGGGUGCUAAUACCGCAUAAGUUUUCCCAGUGCAUGCUGGGAAAAUAAAAGGUGGCUCUGCUACCGCUUAUGGAUAGCCUCGCGGCGCAUUAGCUAGUUGGUAGGGUAAAGGCCUACCAAGGCCAUGAUGCGUAGCCGACUUGAGAGGGUGAUCGGCCACACUGGAACUGAGACACGGUCCAGACUCCUACGGGAGGCAGCAGUAGGGAAUCUUCCACAAUGGGUGCAAGCCUGAUGGAGCAAUGCCGCGUGAGUGAAGAAGGACUUCGGUUCGUAAAGCUCUGUUGUUGGGGAAGAACACGGAUAGGAGUCACUGCCUGUCCCUUGACGGUACCCAACCAGAAAGUCACGGCUAACUACGUGCCAGCAGCCGCGGUAAUACGUAGGUGACAAGCGUUGUCCGGAUUUAUUGGGCGUAAAGCGAGCGCAGGCGGUCCGGUAAGUCUGAUGUGAAAGCCCACGGCUCAACCGUGGAACGGCAUUGGAAACUGGCGGACUUGAAUGUAGCAGAGGAAAGUGGAAUUCCAUGUGUAGCGGUGGAAUGCGUAGAUAUAUGGAGGAACACCAGUGGCGAAAGCGACUUUCUGGGCUAUGAUUGACGCUGAGGCUCGAAAGCGUGGGGAGCGAACAGG